rnacentral:rRNA from 1 species
CGGAGGGAUCAUUACCGAGUUUACAACUCCCAAACCCAAUGUGAACGUUACCAAACUGUUGCCUCGGCGGGGUCACGCCCCGGGUGCGUCGCAGCCCCGGAACCAGGCGCCCGCCGGAGGAACCAACCAAACUCUUUCUGUAGUCCCCUCGCGGACGUAUUUCUUACAGCUCUGAGCAAAAAUUCAAAAUGAAUCAAAACUUUCAACAACGGAUCUCUUGGUUCUGGCAUCGAUGAAGAACGCAGCGAAAUGCGAUAAGUAAUGUGAAUUGCAGAAUUCAGUGAAUCAUCGAAUCUUUGAACGCACAUUGCGCCCGCCAGUAUUCUGGCGGGCAUGCCUGUCCGAGCGUCAUUUCAACCCUCGAACCCCUCCGGGGGAUCGGCGUUGGGGAUCGGGACCCCUCACACGGGUGCCGGCCCCGAAAUACAGUGGCGGUCUCGCCGCAGCCUCUCCUGCGCAGUAGUUUGCACAACUCGCACCGGGAGCGCGGCGCGUCCACGUCCGUAAAACACCCAACUUUCUGAAAUGUUGACCUCGGAUCAGGUAGGAAUACCCGCUGAACUUAAGCAUA